AUUGAACGCUGGCGGCAGGCCUAACACAUGCAAGUCGAACGAGUGGCGGACGGGUGAGUAAUGUCUGGGAAACUGCCCGAUGGAGGGGGAUAACUACUGGAAACGGUAGCUAAUACCGCAUACCAUCGGAUGUGCCCAGAUGGGAUUAGCCAGUAGGUGGGGUAACGGCUCACCUAGGCGAUGAUCCCUAGCUGGUCUGAGAGGAUGACCAGCAACACUGGAACUGAGACACGGUCCGGACUCCUACGGGAGGCAGCGGUGGUGAAUAUUGCACAAUAGGCGCAAGCCUGAUGCAGCCAUGCCGCGUGUGUAAAGAAAGCCUUGGGGGUGUGAAGUAGUUUCAGCGAGGAGGCGUUACUCGCAGAAGAAGCACCGGCUAACGCCGUGCCAGCCGCCGCGGUAAUAC
rnacentral:rRNA from 1 species